rnacentral:rRNA from 1 species
AUGGCCGGGUCCUUCGUCCUCAACACCGGCGCAAGAAUGCCAUCAGUCGGCCUCGGCACAUGGCAGAUAGCGCCUGAUGUUGUUGGCGACGCCAUCUACGCCGCUGUCAAGGCUGGAUAUCGGCAUAUUGAUUGUGCUCCAGUGUACCGCAAUGAGAAACAGGUUGGUUUCGCUUUGAAGAAACUAUUUGAGGAUGGUGUGGUUAAGCGUGAAGAUUUGUUUAUCACCUCUAAGCUAUGGUCUGGUGAUCAUGCACCUGAAGAUGUUCCAGAGGCAAUUGGCGCUACUCUUAAAGAUUUGCAGCUUGACUUCUUAGAUCUGUUCCUCAUUCAUGCUCCAAUCCGUAUCAAGAAAGGGACUACGCCGAGCCAUGAAAACAUUCUCCCACCUGAUAUUCCUGCUACAUGGGAAGCGAUGGAGAAGCUAUACGACUCUGGCAAAGCUCGAGCAAUUGGUGUGAGUAGCUUCUCUUGCAAAAAGAUUGAGGAUUUGCUUGCCAUUGCACGUGUGCCUCCAGCAGUCAACCAGGUUGAAUGUCAUCUGAUUUGGCAGCAAGACAAGCUCCAUAAACUAUGCCAUUCGAGGGGUGUUCAUCUUUCUGCAUUUUCCCCAUUAGGUUCGCCUGGAUCAUCUCUACCCGGGGUCAGUGGCGCUAUCGUCCUUAGCAAUCCUAUUGUCAUCUCUGUUGCUGAGAAGUUGCAGAAGACACCUGCACAGGUUGCCUUACGCUGGUGUCUUCAAAUGGGUCAGAGUGUACUUCCAAAAAGCACCAAUGAAGCAAGGAUUAAGGAGAACUUUGACAUAUUUGAGUGGUCCAUUCCUGAAGAUUUAAUGGCAAAGUUCUCCGAAAUCAAACAGGCAAGGUUGAUGAAAGGGGAAUUUGCGGUUCACCCUCUAAGCGUUUACAAAACCUUGGAGGACCUUUGGGAUGGCGAAAUUUAA